AGUGAACGCUGGCGGUAGGCCUAACACAUGCAAGUCGAACGGCGGCACAGUAAGAGCUUGCUCUUACGAGUGGCGAGGGGCGGACGGGUGAGGAAUACAGCGGAAGCUACUGUUUCGGGGGGGAUAACGUAGGGAAACUUAUGCUAAUACCUCAUACGACCUACGAGUGAAAGCAGGGGAGCUUCGGACCUUGCGCGAUUGAAUGGACCGAUGUCGGAUUAGUUAGUUGGCAGGUGAAAGACCGACCAAGGCGACGAUCCGUAGCUGGUCUGAGAGGUGGAUCAGCCACACUGGACCGGGGACCCGGCCAAGCCUCCUCGGGAAGGAAGCAGUGGGGAACAUUGGACAAUGGGCGCAAGCCUGCUCCAGCACUCCCGCGUGGGGGAGGAAGGCUUCCGGGUUGUAAAGUCUUUUUGUUGGGAAAGAAAAUCGUCAGGUUAAUACCCCGCUGUUCUGACGGUACCCACCCAAUAAGCACCGGCUAACUUCGUG
rnacentral:rRNA from 1 species